CAGCCAUGCCGCGUGUGUGAAGAAGGUCUUCGGAUUGUAAAGCACUUUAAGUUGGGAGGAAGGGUAGUAACUUAAUACGUUGCUACUUUGACGUUACCGACAGAAUAAGCACCGGCUAACUUCGUGCCAGCAGCCGCGGUAAUAA
rnacentral:rRNA from 1 species